GAGCCCCUGCCGUGCGCGUGAUCGGCGGGAGAGUUUGAGCCAACACACGACGAACGGGAUCCCAACCUGGCGACGGUGAGCAUCCCCCCUUACGGGGAAGCCUGAAGCCGCCAACCCCGGGAACCCACCUGGUGAAAGCCAGGUUCAACUCGACCGUCGACACGGCAUUCGCGGGGGCGCU
rnacentral:other from 4 species